GAUACUACUGAGCCUCCUUAGCAGUGGAAUCAUGAAUUUACACCAUGUGGUUAUUCGCUUACUUUCAGCUAGGAAAGAAAGAAAAGCUUUGGGCAUGAGGGUCUGAAAAAGAAAAAAGAGCUGAGACAAAGAGGAGUUUUUCAAAAUUCCUCAUAAUUCAAAAUGCAUAGCCCUCAAAUUAGGGAUGAACUUUAGAAGGUUCAAAAAAGUUGCCCUUCUGAUAACAAAAAAAGCACUACUGAAGAAUCCACUGCAGAAGAAAGGGCGCUCCCUAGGUACUGCAUAUCAGGACUGUGUUUAUAUAGUUCAGCAGAAAAGGAACUGGAGCAGAUACUGGCUUUUAGGAAGAAUUCCACAUAAAAGAGGGGGAAUUGUUCUCUUUUAGGUCUAAGAUGAAAUAGAUGAUCAUAACUGCUCUGCUUGGAGAUGCAUUUCAUGGCACAAUGUAUACGUGACCUACGCAAGGUCACGUCAUGGAAAGAGAACUGACAUGAGAGAUAACAAAUAGAAUCCAAGCUUUUAGUCUUGGACAACUUCAGGGUAACCUAUUUAGGCUUGCUUUAUUUCAUGCAAUACGGCAA